UACGUAGGGUGCAAGCGUUGUCCGGAAUUAUUGGGCGUAAAGAGCUCGUAGGCGGUCUGUCGCGUCUGCUGUGAAAACCUAGGGCUUAACUCUGGGCGUGCAGUGGGUACGGGCAGGCUAGAGUGCGGUAGGGGAGACUGGAAUUCCUGGUGUAGCGGUGAAAUGCGCAGAUAUCAGGAGGAACACCGGUGGCGAAGGCAGCUCUCUGGGACGGUACUGACGCUGAGACGCGAAAGCGUGGGGAGCGAACAGG
rnacentral:rRNA from 1 species